CCUACGGGAGGCAGCAGUGAGGAAUAUUGGUCAAUGGCCGAGAGGCUGAACCAGCCAAGUCGCGUGAGGGAAGAAUGUCCUAUGGAUUGUAAACCUCUUUUGUCAGGGAGCAAAGUCACCCACGUGUGGGUGUUGGAGAGUACCUGAAGAAAAAGCAUCGGCUAACUCCGUGCCAGCAGCCGCGGUAAUACGGAGGAUGCGAGCGUUAUCCGGAUUUAUUGGGUUUAAAGGGUGCGUAGGCGGGUUAUCAAGGCAGCGGUAAAAUCGUGGGGCUCAACUCCAUCCAGCCGUUGAAACUGGUGAGCUUGAGUGGGCGAGAAGUAUGCGGAAUGCGUGGUGUAGCGGUGAAAUGCAUAGAUAUCACGCAGAACUCCGAUUGCGAAGGCAGCAGACCGGCGCCCGACUGACGCUGAAGCACGAAAGCGUGGGUAUCGAACAGGAUUAGAUACCCGGGUAGUC
rnacentral:rRNA from 1 species